GAAAAGACCACUUAUUGAAUUGCCUGAAGCAGCACUCUGCUCGUUAAACUCACCACGGUCAUAGCUAAGACAUCAGGAUUUUUCUGUGCUGACAGUCUUUUUCACUCUUCCAUCAGCUUACAUCAACACCUUUAACCCAUGAUGUCCCCCACAUUUUCUCAAAAUUGUGAUCACACAGUGAAGAACAUGGGGCACAGCUGGAAUUCACACCAGAAUCGCAGAUUUAAGGCUUUUACACUUCAGGGCCUUUACCUCGGAGCAUAUGUCAUUACUGGAAAUUGUGAUCAUACCCCCACUGAAAAAGGGAUUUAGGUGGAGUCCUUCAAGCAUCAGUUGGUCUCAAGAAUCUCUCAGAACCACUGUGAUUGGAGUCAUGAGGUCAAAAAUGGGUCUCAGAGGCAAAAGAAAACCAGUUCAGUGGAGUGACAGCGAGACAAUAGAAAGGAACCCCUGCCACUUAAAGUGUGAAGCUUUCUGAACGCUGUGGCAAGUCCGUGUCUAGUACCCACAGUGCUCGUUUCUCUUCUUUCUCCCAGUCCUACUCAGCAUCCCACUCUCCGCAGGCAAUUCAAUUACCGCCCGUGAAAAUUACAGGCGCUUUCAUUUAGAAAACGCAGCCGAGGCAACUCAUAAGGACCCUCUCUUCCCCAAUCUCCCCCAAUUAGCCUGCUAAUGCGGCGGUUUGUCAUGGUUUGGAGCCGCCGAAAGGAUAUGUGAAGAAUAGAACCGUGCUUCUGAGGGAGGGAAGAUGACACCGAACGAAUUGGGUGGAGUGUGUGAGAAUGAAGAGAGCAGAGGCGGCAGAGAGUAACGCGGUCAGUGAGGCUGUCGCUGUGUGCUGGGGUGUAGUGAGCAAGAAAAAAUGUUUUUAACACACGGUUCAAAUGCUCUUUUAUCAAAGAAUGCCGGCAUCUGCACAGCUGAGUGACUGAUCUGUCUCAGCAUUACACAGGCUCUUGAGUUUUCAACACCUACAGUUUAUUUCAAUAGAGCAUAUCAUUUAUACUUACACGAACCCACCAAAAGUACUGGGAUUCUCCCUACUUGCAAAUAAAGUGAAUUUAAAAAUCUGACCAUUGCUUUCGCAUUAAGGAAGCUUGUUGGGUUUGCCAGGGGUAUUUCUCGUUAUGACAGCAGAAAAUGUCACAAAGUAACUUGAUUGAAGGGGUGAUUGCAGGUUGUCAUUUUCUCCACAUGUCAGUACUUACCAUUUCAAUGCAGCUGAAAAUUUCUGAAGUGAUGUUUCUAGAAAUGGGAAGGUUACUACACAGAAUCAAAAAACAACUCCCCAUGCCUGAGAGUGGGUCUCCCGCAUCUGAUGUUAUCAGAAACUAGUGCAGAGGGAAGAAAGAGUGCACUUCUGCGCUAUUUGUAGUUACAUGACUCAUUUGAUGCAAUGAGAGCAGGUAACUUAUUUCAUAACAGAGAAUGGAAUCUGUGCUCCCAUACAGGAAAAUAUUUAAGGCUAGUACAACCAACAUGAACAACGAUCCCAAUUUCUGUGUAUUCGUUUAUACGACACCCAUUGAAAGAUCAGUGACAGCAUACACGGGGUGCAAGCACGCAUGUCG